AAGCUUCAUUUCACCCCUUUAAUUAUUUCUUAUUACCCAAAAGCUCCAUUAUUCCCUAAAUUGCAAAACUGCCCCUCAUUUGUUUUUAAAUAUUUUCUUCCCCCUUUCUUUUUCAUCACUCAUUUCAGUUCUUACUAUAAUUAAAAUACAUGAUCAUUUUUCUCUUAAUUAUCUACAACCUAAAAAACUCCUGUAAAUCUCUUUGUCCAAAUAAAAUCCCCUGCCUAUAAAUUCUCCUUGAUAAAAUUAAAACCUAAGAUAAAUUCCUUAAUAACAAAUCCUCAUUAUUUUGGGUGCUACAGUACAGUUGACAGCAGCAUUUAUUCUCUUAAGUAACUUAUCACAAGUCAAAAUUCUGUGGUGUAGCUGUCCACGCAUUCACUAUAAAUGAUUUAACCUCACAUAUGUAAAUUCUAGGUAAUUACCAGAAACAUCCAUUCUUCCUAUCUAAUCCAUGCCGCAUACAAUCUAAAACUAACCCUAUUACUAAUAUGUGUACAGGGAUAAGUAAUUACUAUUUCAUGUUGAAUUCUUUACUUCAAUAAAAACAAAUAUAUUACCAAAAUGUUCUCAAGGAAAGCCCUGAAAGCCAUGUCUCACAAAUUUUAAACUGAAGAAUAUUCCUCUAAAAUAUCUACAUAUUGUACAUAACCUACAUAACUUGCAAAACUGAGCAAACCAGGAGUACUUACAUAUCCAAAAAAAAAGCUAGAUAAUUAAAGCAUCUUGCAUUGCAAAACUGGAGAUUGUAUGCCAAAAAAAAAAAAAAAAGACAGAGAAGAAGCCAAACAUUGAUUACCCAGUUGUAUGGACCCAAAUAAUAAAUAAUCCAGAUAUCAGAAAUAUUUAAAUCUAUUCACGCCAAGAUUUGUGACCUUUCUUAUUGUAGCCAAAUCCAUAGCACUGGCGCCAGAUUUUCCUUAUCACUGUCCGGCUCACUAGAUAUUAAAAGAAUGUGUAGGUCCUCCACAAAGGCCACAUUGAAUUAAACUUGGCUUGCAGUUCUGUUCAAGAGAAGCAGCCUUAAAAAUCAAGUACAUCUUCUCUGCAUCAGUCUGCAAAUGUAAAACACAUUUUAGGAUCCAAAAGAGCAGGAGACAAUAAGGCACUCAAACAAUUUUUAUUUCUCAGCACUCACUCAAUCGGACUUAACACAACAAAAAGUCCCUACUUCAACUAUCACAGUAAGAAAUUCAAAUAAAGCCCCCAAAUAUAAAUGUUACAUAGCUCGAGUGAUCGCAAUCAUGUUUUCUAAGAACAUAAUAACACCACCAAAUAAACUCAGAAAUAUACAGAUAAAUUGACAGUGAGACUUUAUAAAAGACAUGAAAUAGGCAAUAAUGUGAGUACCAGGCAAUAUAUUUUAAGAAGAGGGCCUUGAAUUCAAGUAUAGCCCCAUAAAUGAUUGACCAAUACAAAUAGUAGAAACAAGAAUUUGCCAUUCACUUCAAUCACAAAGUAACAUCUGCUAAUCAUUUGGUAUUUGGUAUAAAACAAAAUUCACAGUCCAAAUAACAAUGCUAAUCAGGUCCACAUGAUAUUAUGAUUCAUAGUAUUUGGAAAAUUCCUUAAUCUAGAGUAUGACAUCUAAAUUGUGAAUCAUAGCUAAACAUUUACCAAAACCAUUUGUGCUCUCAGAUUGAAAGACAUAACACUUGAUUAUCAAAAAAGAGGUAGUAGACUCCCCUGGAUAUGCAAAUUGGUUUUCAGAAAAUAAAGGAAAAAGAAAGAUUCCAUCCAAAAAGCAUACAACUUUGCUAGGGCGCGUAGAAAUAGAUGCUCAGGAAACAAAACAAAAAAAAGUAGAGUGGGAAUUAAUUUCUAUUUUUUUUAUAAGAAAACACUAUAUGAUCGCAAAGGAAACUUUUGUGGCUGCUUAAUUCGAACUUUCUAGAGGUUCCAUUUAGUGGAAUGUGAGCUUUGCUAGAGUGGCUUAUGAUUAGGAGAUGAAAAUCUUUGCCUCGUUCUUCAAGGUGUUGUAUUUAGUGAAAGUGAGACGGAAAUGUGAGGACAAGCUGUAGUGAGUCCCAUGGACUCCAAAAGUAACGCGCCAUUUUGAGGCCGUUUGUGCCAUUUGCAAUGUUUUCUUCAGCCAAUUUAGGUCGUCUUAGGUUAUGCCUAGACGAGUAGUAAACUUGUAUGCUUGUUGGUGGCUUCUCGGCAGCACUCGAAGUGCUACGAUGUGGAAGAUGUUGUGUCUUUUGUGGUAUUAAGUCUUUAUUUUACAACAUUUUGUAUCUUUGGAUAUUUGUUUCUUCGUGAUUAGUUAUCAUGAUUGUCUUGUUCUUUUUGCUCUUAUUAGAUAGGUAGCUUCUCUUGUGUACAUCUUGUGUACUUAGGAACGCCUUAUGCUUUUAAUGAUAUUUCAGUUACUUAUCAAAAAUAUAUAUAUACAGAUAUUAGCAAGUAAGAGCACUAGCAAAAAUCACUGAAACUAAGAAACAACAGGGAAACAAACGCCGCUGUCCAUAGGAACAAAGUCUCAUAGAAAAAAGAUAAAAUAUCCUCCAACGACUUCUCCAUAUCCUCAAAGUUUCUGUCAUUCCUUUCUUUCCACAAACACCAAAAGAGGCACGUAGGAACCAUUUUCCACACAGCAGCGCUCCUAGGCCUCCUAAUAAAUCCACAAUUCAUCUAGGCAUCACCCAGGACAGCUCAAAAGCUUGAUUUGUCAU
rnacentral:lncRNA from 1 species